UUAUCCUCAUAAGUUUGACAAUAAGAGAAACCAUAUAAAAUUUAAAUUAGCCAUAAUUUAAAUAGUUAUAUAGUAUAAUAAAAUCGGAGGCCACGACUGUUUACUAAAAACACAAUUCAGAGCAAUGAUUAAGAUAAUAGUAUUCUGAAUGAAAUUUGCCCAAUGCCAUUAAUAUAAGAAAAGUAAUUUUAAAGUUACUAAUCGAAAAUCUGGUUAAUAGCGGUCUUAACUAUGAGGAUCCUAAGGUAGCAAAAUAAAUUGGCCAUUAAAUGUGGUCUUGUAUCAAUAAUGUAACGAUGGUCUCACUGUCUCUACAACUUGCUCAGUGAAAUUGAAUUGCGAGUGCAGAUGCUCGCUGUCUUCAG
rnacentral:rRNA from 1 species